rnacentral:rRNA from 1 species
CAGGGUAAACGGAAAAGACCCGAAAUUCCGAAAAGGGAGAUUCACGUCUGCUCGCACGUGCUCGGCACCUGUCGCGUUUGGACGGCCAUUUGUGCCCCCGUUUGUGCGCAAGCUCAAGCGGUCGGGUCUGGUUGCCGGCGCGCGGGUGUGUCCGAGCCGCGGCGGACCGCACUUCUCCCUUAGUAGGACGUCGCGACCCGCCCGUCCGUGGUCUAAGGCUGAGCAAGACGCCUGACGCUCGCCGUUGGUUCGUAUGAGCCAGCGACUGUGUGUCAGACUGCUCGUGCUUCCCGGCCACGGUUUUUUUUACGGACGGUAUCGAAUACCGGUGUCGAGUCGCUUCUUCGCGAGGGGGAGAUAAAACACCCUCUCGUACGGAAGCGCCCUAGGCAGAGGGCAAGGUUUUUCCGAGUCUCUAAAAACGUAAGUUUUGAAGUCAAGACGUUUGUUUUCUGUUCGUCUGGCGGAGCUCGGGCCUGUUGGCUCUCUCGUCUUUGGGCAGGCUCAUUCCCAUUGCGCGGAGAAAGGCACCAGUCAGCGGCGAUCUAGUUUUGGGCUCUUUUCCGACCCGUCUUGAAACACGGACCAAGGAGUUUAGCGUGCUCGCGAGUCAUUGGGUGUUACAAAACCUAAAGGCGAAAUGAAAGUAAAGAGAGUCCCUUUUUUCGUGGCUCUCGAGGGAGGAUGAGCUACUGCUCUGGUCGUUCCUAACCGGCGGCUGAGCGUGUCUCCGCACUCCCGGGGCGACUCUUUCUCAUUGCGAGUGGAGGCGCACCAAGAGCGAGUACGCUGAAACCCGAAAGAUGGUGAACUAUGCCUGGCCAGGACGAAGCCAGGGGAAACCCUGGUGGAGGUCCGCAGCGAUUCUGACGUGCAAAUCGAUCGUCGGAGCUGGGUAUAGGGGCGAAAGACCAAUCGAACCUCUA